rnacentral:rRNA from 1 species
CCUACGGGCGGCAGCAGUGGGGAAUAUUGCACAAUGGGGGAAACCCUGAUGCAGCGACGCCGCGUGAGUGAAGAAGUAUUUCGGUAUGUAAAGCUCUAUCAGCAGGGAAGAAAAUGACGGUACCUGAGUAAGAAGCCCCGGCUAACGACGUGCCAGCAGCCGCGGUAAUACGUAGGGGGCAAGCGUUCUCCGGAUUUACUGGGUGUAAAGGGAGUGUAGACGGCAGCACAAGUCUGGAGUGAAAUGCCGGGGCUUAACCCCGGAACUGCUUUGGAAACUGUGCAGCUAGAGUGCAGGAGAGGUAAGUGGAAUUCCUAGUGUAGCGGUGAAAUGCGUAGAUAUUAGGAGGAACACCAGUGGCGAAGGCGGCUUACUGGACUGUAACUGACGUUGAGGCUCGACAGCGUGGGGAGCAAACAGGAUUAGAUACCCGAGUAGUC